rnacentral:rRNA from 1 species
UACGAAGGGGGCUAGCGUUGCUCGGAAUCACUGGGCGUAAAGCGCACGUAGGCGGAUUGUUAAGUCAGGGGUGAAAUCCUGGAGCUCAACUCCAGAACUGCCUUUGAUACUGGCGAUCUCGAGUCCGGGAGAGGUGAGUGGAACUGCGAGUGUAGAGGUGAAAUUCGUAGAUAUUCGCAAGAACACCAGUGGCGAAGGCGGCUCACUGGCCCGGUACUGACGCUGAGGUGCGAAAGCGUGGGGAGCAAAGCAG